GCUGCUCUGAUGUUCAGACUUAUUAAUGAAACACCAAGUCAAAGUAAACCCUAAGAAUUUCUUCGUUAAUGUUGUUAUCCUCUGUGUUUCCCUUAGCUUCAUCGUCACAUUCAAUAAUUCAAUCUUCAGAGAAUCGAAGUAACAUUAUUAAUUUUUAAUAUAUAAGGGACACUACAUGUCUAAAGCAACUGGUAUCGUAAAGUGGUUUAACGAAGAGAAAGGUUUUGGUUUCAUUACUCAAGACAAUGGCGGUGCUGACGUAUUCGUUCAUUUCCGCGCAAUUGCUUCAGAAGGUUUCAAAACUCUUUCUGAAGGCCAAAAAGUAUCUUUCGAUGUAGAGCAAGGUCAAAAAGGCCCUCAAGCAGCUAAUGUUGUAGCUCUAUAAUUGAAAUUUUGGCGUAAGUGGAUAACCCACUUACGCCAACU
rnacentral:sRNA from 1 species